CUUCGCCAUCCCCGCUUGGCGGAAUGGGACCCGCCCAAGCAUAUAGCUAACUACCUAGCCCUUCGCAUGCGCACUCCUCUGUCCAAGGAGGGGAGCAGUAAACUACGGGCUGAAUGCCCAAGGCCCUCAGUGCCUGAUGCAGCGUGCAAGACGCCAGAGGUAGACCCUCAGAUUACUCAGUUACUGGCAAAAACGGGCUGGAAACCCAAGAAGGGGCUGGAGUUCUCACUCCAUAAUUGCCAGGACAACAUUUUAGACACCCUGGGGCCCGCUGCCAAGCUAUAUGAGCUAUUAGAGGCAGCUAAGGCGGGGGACAACCCCCUGGAUUUUGAUGAGGC